AUGAAAAUUUUCCUAAAUUUUAAUUGAUUUCACCUUAUAAUUUUGCAGUCCUCAUUGCUAUGAUGACGCGAGAAGUAUGCAUUUUGGAGUGAAAGAUCGGCUUGUGGCUCCAAGGGUAAAGCAGCUUAAGCGAUGACCGAGUGUGAAGCAAAUAAUUUGAGAGGAAGAAGGACAAAUCAAGGCUAUAAUGGAUGCCCAAAACAGCAAUUUCUCGUUUUA
rnacentral:misc_RNA from 1 species